rnacentral:rRNA from 1 species
CAAAACCAAUGACUGGGGUGAAGUCGUAACAAGGUAGCCGUAUCGGAAGGUGCGGCUGGAUCACCUCCUUUCUAAGGAA